AAAAGUCUUUUCACAACUAGAAGUAUUAAAAACUAUUUUAUUUAUAUAAGGAGAACAUGCAAAGUGAUAAAAAUAAAAUUCUAUUUGAUAUAUAAAAGAGUGAAAAAUAUGGAUAAAAUUUUCAAAUUUGUUCAUGUUAUGAUAAUCCUUCUCUUCCUAUUUCCUCUUUCAAUGCAAACGCCAUUUCCUAUCAUGCCAUGUAUUCGUGAUCGUGAUUGUUUAGUGGUUGGAAAACCCCGGAAUGGAAUACCUAUUCAAAAAUUAUGGUGUCGUAAAGGUUUUUGUGUAUUAAAAUAAUUAUAGAUCUCGGAAGAUUAUAUGAUUGUCAGACCCGCACACCAGGACAUUCCAUGAGUUCUUAUUUAGUUAAUGUAACCCAAUAAAUAAAUUUUCUUUUAGGUUUUUUAAUUUCACGUACCUUGUUAGUUUUGUACUUUAAGAUGAUGCAAAUGAAAUGAAAUAAAGCAUGAAAAAUAUUAUCGAUAGUUUCUUCAA